UACGUAGGGUGCGAGCGUUGUCCGGAAUUACUGGGCGUAAAGAGCUCGUAGGUGGUUUGUCGCGUUGUUCGUGAAAUCUCACGGCUUAACUGUGAGCGUGCGGGCGAUACGGGCAGACUGGAGUACUGCAGGGGAGACUGGAAUUCCUGGUGUAGCGGUGGAAUGCGCAGAUAUCAGGAGGAACACCAGUGGCGAAGGCGGUUGCCUGGAGCUUUGCUGACGCUGAGGCGCGAAAGCGUGGGGAGCGAUCCGG
rnacentral:rRNA from 1 species